CGUGCCUACUCUUAACUGAGCGGGGGCGGGAGACGGCACUUUUACUUUGAAAAAAUCAGAGUGUUUCAAGCAGGCAGCUCGCUCUUGCAUGGAUUAGCAUGGGAUAAUGAAAUAGGACUUUGGUGCUAUUUUGUUGGUUUCGAACACCGAAGUAAUGAUGAGAAGGGACAGUCAGGGGCACUCGUAUUCCGCAGAGAGAGGUGAAAUUCUCAGACCCGCGGAAGACGAACCACUGCGAAAGCAUUUGCCAGGGAUGUUUUCACUGAUCAAGAACGAAAGUUAGGGGAUCGAAGAUGAUCAGAUACCGUCGUAGUCUUAACCAUAAACCAUGCCGACUAGGGAUUGGAGGAUGUUCACUGAUUGACUCCUUCAGCACCUUACGGGAAACUAAAGUCUUUGGGUUCCGGGGGGAGUAUGGUCGCAAGGCUGAAACUUAAAGGAAUUGACGGAAGGGCACCACCAGGAGU
rnacentral:rRNA from 1 species